rnacentral:rRNA from 1 species
CGGAUCCUACGGGGGGCAGCAGUGAGGAAUAUUGGUCAAUGGGCGAGAGCCUGAACCAGCCAAGUCGCGUGAGGGAAGACGGUCCUAUGGAUUGUAAACCUCUUUUGCCGGGGAGCAAAAAGCGGUACGUGUACCGCAUCGAGAGUACCCGGAGAAAAAGCAUCGGCUAACUCCGUGCCAGCAGCCGCGGUAAUACGGAGGAUGCGAGCGUUAUCCGGAUUUAUUGGGUUUAAAGGGUGCGCAGGCGGCGAGUUAAGUCAGCGGUAAAAUUUCGGGGCUCAACCCCGGCGAGCCGUUGAAACUGG